rnacentral:rRNA from 1 species
AUUGAACGCUGGCGGCAGGCCUAACACAUGCAAGUCGAGCGGCAGCACUUCGAGUGGCGAGCGGCGAACGGGUGAGUAAUACAUGGGAAUCUGCCCAGUAGUGGGGGAUAACUCUGGGAAACUAGAGGUAAUACCGCAUACGUCCUACGGGAGAAAGCAGGGGAUCGCAAGACCUUGCGCUAUUGGAGGAGCCCAUGUCCGAUUAGCUAGUUGGUGAGGUAAAGGCUCACCAAGGCGACGAUCGGUAACUGGUCUGAGAGGAUGGUCAGUCACACUGGAACUGAGACACGGUCCAGACUCCUACGGGAGGCAGCAGUGGGGAAGAUUGGACAAUGGGGGCAACCCUGAUCCAGCCAUGCCGCGUGUGUGAAGAAGGCCUUCGGGUUGUAAAGCACUUUAAGCAGGGAGGAAGGCUCGCAACCUAAUACGUUGCGGGAGUGACGUUACCUGCAGAAUAAGCACCGGCAAACUCCGUGCCAGCCGCCGCAGUAAAAC